GUCUCCGUGGCCCAGCUGGUUAAGGCGUCCGACUGUUAGUUUAAACAACUAAACAACCACAAUCGGGAGAUCGGCAGUUCGAUCCUGCCCGGGGACG
rfam:Aspergillus wentii DTO 134E9 unplaced genomic scaffold ASPWEscaffold_2, whole genome shotgun sequence.